AAUUCUCAACCUUCCAGCUUUUAUGAGCUUGGUUAGGCUUGGAUGUGGGGGUUGCGGGCUUCAUCAAUGACGUCGGCUCUCCUUAAAUGCAUUAGCGGAACUUUUGUGGACCGUCUAUUGGUGUGAUAAUUAUCUACGCCGUGGAUGUGAAGCAGCUUUAUGAAGUUUUGCUUCUAACCGUCCAUUGACUUGGACAAUUUUGACA
rnacentral:misc_RNA from 1 species